rnacentral:misc_RNA from 1 species
UGUAAAUUGGCUAAAGAUUUACCAUAAGCCUCGCUAACCACUUUCUCAGCUUCUCUCCUUGCCAACUUGUACUUCUCAAAGGCAUCCCCAAGUAUUGCCAUUGGUAACUCUAUACCAUUGUUUUUUCAUUUUAAUAGCCAUUUGAACUGCUCACUCCACCACCAAGACAUUUGUGUUCGUGGUUCUCCAACUUUGGAUAUGCCUAGUAUAUCCACUUACUACUUUCUUAAUUAACUUGCCAUUGCCCUCCACGUGAUAUCAAUGUUAUCGUCUAUAUUCCAUACACCUUCUACAAAUAACUUCUCCUUUAAAGCUAUUUGGCCCGUGCUUUUUAGCUUCCACCGUCAAGCUCUAGGUUACAUAAAUCACUUUUCCUUCUUCAUUCUGCUCUUUAACUUCACAUCUAACUCAACUAGUAUGUGCUAAGUAGUUUGAGGCUCACCAAGAUUAUUAUCAAAAUGAACUUGACAUGGUUGCAAAUUUGUACUGUGGGCUCCAACCUCCACAUUCCCUCAACAGAAAAGAAAAGAGUACAGCUGGUUGUAUCCACAUAUUUAACAACUAAAUUCUAACGUGGAAAAAAAAAUCCUUGUACCUGAUACAUCCUAACAUUUUUUGGGCAAAACUAAAGCAUAGAACUGAGAUUGGUGAUGGAUUGCAAUGGGCAUAGUGCAAAACAGAAUCUAAUGUGAUGAACAGGAGAACUAACACCAUAUAAACUAAAAAGCACCCAGAACACUUUUUUCUACUUUUAUGACCUAAUUGUUUGGACAUCCCCCACAAUUUGAAUCAAAUAAAAUAAUUUAGAAUGACUAAGAAAUGCAACAUCUGGGAGUUACAAAGGUAAUCUGCGCUUG